GUUACGGUUACCUAAAAAUUUACAUUUUUACGAUUACUUGCAAUUUCGUUACUUGUAACGACCUUGCUCACAUGUCUGCGUAAUGUAGAGUGUAAAUAAGUUGUUUCUUGUUUCUUGCAUUCCAGAUUCAUGUCCAUCACGAAGCAAGCUAACUCCAGAAAAACGGUUCGACUCCAUGAACAAUAUAUUGGAAAUUUUGAAUUAUUCAGGUGCAAUACAAUGCACGGAGGAAACUGAAAACAGUCUUCAAAUGUAUCUAAGCUUAUCAAGACUCGAGGUUCAACACUUUCAUAGUUUUUUACAGAGAAAGCUUCGCAGUGCUUUACAGGCUUUUAUGACAAUUUCCGAUUCUAGUAUACCGACCAAAGAUCGGCUAAAAUUAUUGUUCCUAAGUAGAGUAAUUUUGAGAGCGUCCAGUAACUGUUCAGACUGAGGGGGUUAAUGGGAAAUUAGAGUUAUAUAGAGAUCUUGGGCGGAUGGUGUUCUUGAUUGGACGGAUGGUGUUCUUAUCGGUUGUGAGGUUUAGUCAGUGAGCUCUAUAUAUUCUGGAGCGAGAACAGUCAUUCUGAGAAACGAGAAGCCAAUUAGCCUUUCUCACGCCGCCAUUUUUGGGUGGCAUUUCAGCCGAAGUCUGCGAGAUACGAGUUUUUAUAAUUUUUUGGACGAAUGAUGGUAAAUUUGCUUUGUAAAUGGUUAGUUUAUUUUGAAAAAUUGCUUUUUACAUUGUUUUAAUUGUUUGCAUUGGUUAACAAAAAUUAGAUGCCACCCAAAAAAAAUGGCGGAUAUUCGUCAUCGUGAGAAAGGCUAAUUCCAGUGUUGUAACUGACCGUAUCGCUAAUCAAGCUAACAGUUCAUAAAAUCUUUAUAUUGAAUUCAUAACACGAAAUUUUGGUACAAUCCUUGCGGUGUUAACCUUUUUUAUAUAGGUGUCAAUUGAGACGAAAAUCCUGUUCCUUUCUCUUGUUUUCUCUCAUCUUCGUAAGCUUAUUGUAUUGUCAGCCUAUUGUCAAUGUUAACAUGAAGUUGAUCUUACAUAUUAUAGUUGAUCUGUAAAUAACAUGUUGGAUCUGUAAUAAUGAUAAACAUAUAGUUGAUCUGUAAAUAACAUGUAUACUGUGACAAACUUAUAUUAUUAGAAAGGGACUGGCACUGGAUAUUGAUUUCCGCCAUCUUUGUCUGCACUUUCACUCCAGAUAUACUUGGAGCAUACACGUUACGAAACAAGUGACCUCACGAGUCUUUAUCUUGGAUCGAUUCUACUUACAAAUUUGCG
rnacentral:lncRNA from 1 species